rnacentral:rRNA from 1 species
AACGAACGCUGGCGGCAGGCCUAACACAUGCAAGUCGAACGCCGUAGCAAUACGGAGUGGCAGACGGGUGAGUAACACGUGGGAACGUACCCUUCGGUUCGGGAUAACUCAGGGAAACUUGAGCUAAUACCGGAUACGUCCGAGAGGAGAAAGAUUUAUCGCCGAGGGAUCGGCCCGCGUCUGAUUAGCUUGUUGGUGAGGUAACGGCUCACCAAGGCGACGAUCAGUAGCUGGUCGAGAGGAUGAUCAGCCACAUUGGGACUGAGACACGGCCCAAACUCCUACGGGAGGCAGCAGUGGGGAAUAUUGGACAAUGGGCGCAAGCCUGAUCCAGCCAUGCCGCGUGAGUGAUGAAGGCCCUAGGGUUGUAAAGCUCUUUUACCCGGGAAGAUAAUGACUGUACCGGGAGAAUAAGCCCCGGCUAACUUCGUGCCAGCCGCCGCAGUAAC